UACGUAGGGUCGAGCGUUGUCCGGAAUUAUUGGGCGUAAAGGGCUCGUAGGCGGUUUGUCGCGUCGGGAGUGAAAACACCGGGCUUAACUCGGUGCUUGCUUUCGAUACGGGCAGACUGGAGGUAUGCAGGGGAGAACGGAAUUCCUGGUGUAGCGGUGAAAUGCGCAGAUAUCAGGAGGAACACCGAUGGCGAAGGCAGGUCUCUGGGCAUUAACUGACGCUGAGGAGCGAAAGCAUGGGGAGCGAACAGG
rnacentral:rRNA from 1 species